CUGGUACCGACUGUCUUGGUAUAGGACAGAUUGGCUUAUGUGUGUGUCAUCGGAGAUGGUCUUCGGGUGGCCAUCGUCCCGAUAGCUCCGAUACUGAGUCAGUUACUCUUGGUAGGUCGAACCGUUCACACGGUCAGGAGAGGCACCACAUAAGUCCAUCGUGCCUAUCCUACCUUAUACCAAGAGUCUUUCAAUAGGUACACAGAAAAUAAAAGUUCGUAGCAUUGUUCGUCAAAUUUCGUGAAAUGUUCGUAACUCCAAUGCUCCAAUGGGUAAAUUCAACUCCAGUGAUAAGUAAACCACUGCACAAGUAAUAUUUCAGAUAAGAGAUUUCCACGCUUUGCAGUGAUAAAGUUCUAUGAGUGCAUGAUUGAAAAAUAUAAUGCGUCAAUUCAAACAAACUACUUAUCAAAAAAAAAAAAAGCAAUAUGUUGGAACUUAUGGCUUAUCUACGAAUAGGGUAUAUUUUAAUAAGAACUCCAUCAAUUGCCAUUCGCAAAGAUUUGUUUCACGAGUGAAGACAUCAAGUUCUUUGGGAGUAAAUCGACUCUGCUUUUUUCGUGAAUAUCUUUUGUCGCUGUGCUCCCGCCAAAACUGAUUCAUAGGCCAGUAGAAUUAGCGAAAAAUGACCCCAAACUUUUAAAUAAAUUCGGCCUAGCCAAAUUUUGCACCAUUUGAUUCAUAAAAAUAUAAGAUUUUUUUUAAUAUUUACGUGCAUGCUCUAAAACUUAUGCUCAUUUCAGAAAAUGCGUUUGAAAAAUUUUUCAUACAUUUUUCCAUAGAAGCCAUCGAAGCCAUUGAACGAACAUGCGAUGUCGCUGAACUUCGUGUUCCGAAAAAGUAUGAUUUGACAGUUGAGAAUUUUCGAGUAAAUAUUUUCAUUUUUGUGGGGAUUUUUUUUGUGAAAUAAUGGCUCAGAACAGACGGCCGUGACUAUUGGCUGACGUCUUCGCGAUGCAACUUUUUGGAUGUGACUUUUUUGCGCAGACAUAACCUCAAAGCAACUUUUUUGUGUGCAAAAAAGUGAGAAAUACGGGAAAAAAUGCAUUGCAGUGCCCCCGGGGGGCUUCCCGUAUGCUGUUAUAGCAUUUUCCAGGCGGAAAUUUGCACAAUUCUGUUUUUUACCACAACAAUAUUUCGAUGCAACUUUUUUGACACUUGGAUGCGACUUUUUAAAUGUAACUUUUUUGUAGACAAGAUUUACGACCGUGCAAAUUGUAGGGAAAUUGUUCGGAAUUCGGUCAGCGGGGAUGAUUAAAAAUGCAAUUAUUUGCAUUCAGCGACGUUUCGGAAAUGUUUAUUUCCUUCUUCAGGCUCUAGGGAAAAUACAUUAAGUUGGACAUUAGGUGGCUUUUCUUCACAAAGGAAAAAUUCUCACAGAAAAUUACAAAAAACUAAUUUAACUCACUCUGCAGGUAUCACAUUUUUCGUCAAAAAGGGAGGGGAAAGUCUCCAUAACAAUCUACACAUCAUUAAAAUUAAAUAAAUUAAUUUUAAACUACACAACAACAUAAUUCUUGGAACAGAAAAUUCUCAAGAGCUCAAAAACACUUAAUCGCUGAAAACGUCCAAUAUCCAACUGAGCCGGCGUAGAAAGAUGAGCGAGCGAUCAGCCCCCCCAACGCAACACCAAACCGUUUCAUCAGCUGGAACAGCACGCGUGUAUGUGUGUGUGUGUGAAAGUUGACGAAUCACUGCUGUGUGUGCAAGUUGAAGAACAAUUGCCGUUUUGUGGACGCGCAUCUAGAAGGUUCCACCAAAUAAGAUGCACCAAAUGCGCGCGGAAAAAACAUUUUUUUGUAAUCGGUGAAGAAAAUCCAGUAGAAUGAAAAUAUCCGCCCAGAAUUAAAGCUGCAAGUCGUGUCAAAACUUGAAAACUUCGUGUAGAAUGCGUCCCUUUGGAGAAGUUGUGUUUUUAAUCCGAAUAAAACUUGUAGACAAGAUUUACGACCGUGCAAAUUGUAGGGAAAUUGUUCGGAAUUCGGUCAGCGGGGAUGAUUAAAAAUGCAAUUAUUUGCAUUCAGCGACGUUUCGGAAAUGUUUAUUUCCUUCUUCAGGCUCUAGGGAAAAUACAUUAAGUUGGACAUUAGGUGGCUUUUCUUCACAAAGGAAAAAUUCUCACAGAAAAUUACAAAAAACUAAUUUAACUCACUCUGCAGGUAUCACAUUUUUCGUCAAAAAGGGAGGGGAAAGUCUCCAUAACAAUCUACACAUCAUUAAAAUUUUGUUCAAAAAAAAGUGAAAAAAGUUUCCUCGAAAAAGUCACACCCAAAAAAGUUGCAUCAAAAAAGUCACACCCAAAAAGUCACAUCCAAAAAAGUUACAUCGAAAAAGUCGCAUCCAAGUGUCAAAAAAAGUUGCAUCAAAAAAGUCACACCCAAAAAAGUUGCAUCAAAAAAGUCACAUCCAAAAAAGUUACAUCGAAAAAGUCGCAUCCAAGUGUCAAAAAAGUCGCAUCGAAAUAUUGUUGUGGUAAAAAACAGAAUUGUGCAAAUUUCCGCCUGGAAAAUGCUAUAACAGCAUACGGGAAGCCCCCCGGGGGCACUGCAAUGCAUUUUUUUCCCGUAUUUCUCACUUUUUUGCACACAAAAAAGUUGCUUUGAGGUUAUGUCUGCGCAAAAAAGUCGCAUCCAAAAAGUUGCAUCGCGAAGACGUCAACCAAAAGCCACGGCCGUCUGUUCUGAGCCAAUGUGUGUUUACUUAUUAUUUCUGCAUUAUCUCAUGUAGGAAGUACUUUUUUUAAUCCUCAGUUGAGUGGAAAUUGUAAAAACUAUAGAAUUUUAUGUGGUUUGUGUGAGCAAUUUCUUGGAACCCCCCAGUGACGUCACUUGUUCGUUCAAUGGCUUUGAUGGCUUCUAUGGGAAAAUGUAUGGGAAUAUUUAAACGCAUUUUCUGAAACGAGCAUAAGUUUUAGAGCACUCCAGUAAGUAUAAAAAGGUUUCUUAUAAUUCUUUGAAUCAAAUGGUGCAAAAUUUGGCUAGGCCGACUUUAUUUAAAAGUUAUUUUACUUCUCAGCUGGCCUAUCAUUGUUUUCGCCUUCAAGCUCCUUGUGUACACCCUGCCAUGGAUAAAGAGCGACUCGAAAAUCUGCACAGCAUGAGGGAGGCAUCCAAAACCAAGCUGACAGACCUAGAGAAGACUCUUAACAACAAACGUAAACGCUUCACGGAGGAGAAGCUCACAGCAUAUGAGGCACUACUGAAUACAAUCUCCCAACGAUUUCAAAACGAUCAGAAGGAGAUUUAUCGUCUUAUUGAUACAGCUUUAAAAGUUGAACAGAAGGAGGACAGCGAUUUUAAUGACCGAAUCCUAGCUGCACAAAUAAAGAUCCGCAGCUCACUGCCCGGAGGUGUAGCAUCACCACCAACUUUUUAUUUUAUUUUUUCUUUAUUAUUAUUAUUAUUAUUAUUAUUAUUAUUAUUAUUAUUAUUAUUAUUAUUAAAGUCAUGCUUCGGACAAUCGUCUUUACAAUUCCAAAUUUGUUCCCAGCUCCACUGCUAUGAAUCAAUAUUACAAAUAGUAGGGGAGAGCGGGGCUAUUUGUGACAGUCUGGAAUUUUCAAAUGGCAAUUUCUCUCAAGUUAUUUAUCGGAAGCACCUGAAAAAAUUAUGAUAAGAAGUCCUACCUACCCUCAAUAGUUGACUGUAGUUUGGAGAUUAUCCGAUGAAUAGUUUAGGAAUAAAAAAAUAAACAAAUUUCGAGCCCUCAAAAAAAUACGUUUUGCGUGUUGAGAAAAACUCAUUUUCCGACACUUUUCUUUUAGCGAUUUUCCAAUCUCACCGUCUUUUCCACAAGCUAGGUCAAUACAGAAAACAUUGCCACUCUGUUGUAACCGUUAUUAUAUAUAAAUAUAUGUAGGGGGACAUGGGGCAAAAUGUUAGAAAGUUAAGACAACACAUCUCCAAUAUCUCAGUAAAUAUUAUUUCGUUAUUGUUCUAAUUUAGUCAAAAGGUACCUUUUAUGGUGCUUGAAUUUACGACUGUGAAAUAUUCGUGUGGGAGGAAAAUUCGGUUGCAGUCUUGAUGAAAGUGCAAUUUACGAAAGUGCAAUUUCGUAAAUUUUUUGUUUUUUAGGUUUUUUAUUAAAAAAAAGUUCUAAUUGUUACACAAAUAUCUUAUUUUCAAUUGCUUUUAUAUAGUGUCUAGACGAUAUAAAAUAAAAUUAAAAUUUAAGGACAAAAAACACAAACUAACAUUUUGCCCCAUGGUUGAGGCAAAAAAGUUAGAAGUGCAAGGUUUCGGAAAAGGGACUGAAAAUGCAUUUUCCCGUUGAGUUAGAAAAUAAUUGUCUGAGACCAAGUUGUAGCCUGGAAAAUUUCCUAUAAGAUAGUCGUCAUGAGAAGACUCAAAUAUUUUCAGGAAAAUCAGGAAAAUGUUUCUCCCAAAAAAACUAACUUUUUGCCCCAUGUUCCCCUACCUAUUUCUUAACAUUAACACAUUUGCUGUUAUUUUUAAUUCCUCUAAACUUUUUAAAAAAAAUUAUGACUCAUAGAAUUUAAAUCUUUUGUACAUAUGUAUAUAAUAUACAUAUAUAAUAUUUAGUCUUGUGCAACACAUGUAAAAAAAAAGAAUAAAGUUCAAAUCUGGUGCAUUUGUUGAAGCUCGUAAUCUCACUAAAAAAUUACCAAAAAAAAACAAAGAUUAUAAUUAAUUUUUCUUAAAAUAUUUAUUUAUAACUUUAUUUUACUACAUUUUAUAAUUUUUAUUUAUUUAUUUAUUUUUUUGAUUUUGUACACAAAAAUGCAUUUUCUUACUUUAUCUAUGUAGAUAAUAUAAUAAACUCUCACAAUAAAAUAAAAUUUAUUUUCUAAAGUAAAAAUAUCAAGAGUAAGAUGAUUAGAUAAAUUCUAUUUUCUUUUCUUUUCUUUUUAAACAUUUCUCACUAAAGAAAAUUAUUUAAGAAAAAAACAUUAAAAUAUAGCAUCUCAAUUUAGAAAUAAAAACCUUAAAAAGAGCUACAAAUAAAGUUUAAAAAAUGCUUUUCUCCUCAUUUUUUGUUGAGAAAAAAAAUUCUUUUAUUGCAGAAGAAAGAAAAAUUAAUUUACUUCCUAAUUUUUCUACGAUUUUGGUGAUAAAAUCGGAGAAAUUCUGCUCCACAAAAUCUCUUUUUCAGUUCUAUUCGUGGAUUUAUUUUUCAGUAUUAGUGUUUUGGCUGCUUCUCAUCUUCAACCCACAGCAGCUUCCACUUCUGAUUGUUUGGCACUUUGAUAUUACAUAUUUUAUUUACUUAUUAAACAGUCUAACGUUUGAUUAUUUCUUCUUUUUUUUCUAAUUUCUUUCACAUUUUGUAGAAAAUUUUGAUUAAAAAUUGAUUUUCUUUUAAUGAUUAUAAAUUCUUCUUCAGGCCCAUUUCUUUUUGGAAAACUUUUUAAAAACCCUGUUCUAAAGGAAAUUCCUCUGUUGGGAAGACUUUUCCUAAUAAAUUGCUUGUGAAAGAAAUAAAUUCAUUUAUUUUGAAUUAAAUGAGCGAGCAACGAAGGAUUUUUUUUAAUAUUAAAGAGGUUUGUUCGGUUUAUACUAAAAUUAAUUUUAAAGAAAAAAUCUCUUAAAAGUUUUCUUAAUUAAUUAAGAAAAUUUACAAAAAAAAAACAGGUAAGUAGGUACAAUAAAUAUUUCCUUUAUCCAUAAAAUUCUCUUAUAAAAGAAAAAAAUCUAAAGCUCCAUGUUCGGAGCUCCUUAUACUGUCAAACGGGGUGAGUUGAAUCAAAUUCUCAGGUUAGAUUUUCUAAUUGAAAAUUUAUAAUAA